rnacentral:rRNA from 1 species
UACAGAGGGUGCAAGCGUUAAUCGGAAUUACUGGGCGUAAAGGGCUCGUAGGCGGCCAACUAAGUCGGAUGUGAAAUCCCCAGGCUUAACCUGGGAACUGCAUCCGAUACUGGAUGGCUUGAAUCCGGGAGAGGGAUGCAGAAUUCCAGGUGUAGCGGUGAAAUGCGUAGAUAUCUGGAGGAAUACCGGUGGCGAAGGCGGCAUCCUGGACCGGCAUUGACGCUGAGUGAGCGAAAGCCAGGGGAGCAAACGGG